UCGCAUAAACCCUUAUCUUCCUCCUUUUCUCUCGCCAUUCCCUCUGAAAAUGGCAGAACCACACUGAAAUUCUUCAACUAAUAGUCGAUCUCCUUCCCUUCACGACAUUCCUCUUUGAAUCUUCAAACCCUUAUUUCUCUAAAUUUCUAUGAAGAAAACGUCAAUGGUGCUAGGGCACGAACCAUUCUUCUCCUUCCUCGCUAUCGAAUCAGUUUGUAUUCCUCUCAGUAGUGCCACAAAAUACUUCUUCCUUGCAUUCUAUUGUCUGAUUUUCGAAGGUGAACAAGGAUUCUUGCCCUUGAUUUUCGUUGAAACAAGAUUCGAAAUCUUCUUCCCUCUGCGAAAUUCUUCUCUCUUUCGUGAUUUCUUUCAAGAAGCAAAGCCCUAAUCUAUCUUCUUCAUUUGAUUUUUGAAGCAACGGCAGCGACAAGCAACAUCCGUUCAUCGGUGACCAGCCUUGAUUCUUCCAUGUUGUGAGUUUCGAAAGAAGCAAACCGCAGAACCUUGUUCCCAAGUCUGAUUUCUGAGUGACAUUACCUUCUUUGGGUUUCAAUUGCCGCCAUUUUAUUGAGAAAACGAUUUCUCUGCGCGCUCCUUCUAGCUGUUAGCUGCGAAUCGAUCACGGCUCUUUGAAGCGUCUUGUUGUUUGAUCACAGAUUGGAACCGGUCGGGAACGAUAGGUUAACGGUGUAGAAUAGCGUUCCAAGGAUGUAUAUUGAGCUGAGCACGUAGGAAUUUGUAGAUUUGUAUUAGAAUUUUGGAUAAAUGUAUAUUUGAUUUGGUUGUGUUGGUUAUAUCAAACUUGUAGAGAAUUGUAUGGUCAUCUUGUGUUUUAGUUAGAUGUUUGGUUUGAGAAUUAGCUGAGUUAGUUACGUUAAAGAGCUGGUGACCCUUUUGCUCAAGUUUUGGAAGUGUGAUAUAAGUUUCUUGGGAAAUGAACUCCGUGAUGACCUUGUUUACUCAGUCAACGGUAAGUCGGGUUGUUACAGGAUAUGAAAGAUAUCAACAGGAGAAAUAAGGCUUUUAUGAAAUUGAAAUUGGUUAAUUUUCUCAACAAUGCAUAAAUGCAUUGGAAUUGAUUUAUUGAUGCACUAUUGAAAUUGGUCGAUGCAAUCAACCUUACAAUAAUCAGCCUAAUGUAUCUAGAAGUAAGAGGAGAGAUAAAAUGGUGAAUGAAGAUUGAAGGUCAGACAAAGAUAAAAAAGAAUAUUUGCAUUUGUAAUGCAAACAACUUCAUUUUUGCAAUCAUUUGACAUUUGCUUUAAGUUUAUACUCUAAAUUUCUUGAUUUGUUUAUUUAAAUAGACACAAUUACUUUAAAUAUUUUUUUAUUCAUAAAAAAGUGUCAAUUGCAAUUUUAUGG